UUGAUAGAUAUUUGAUAUCUAUUAUAUAUUUUAUCUAUUUUUGUGGUUUCUUUGUCGUUUUCUUUAUUGAUUUUUAUUCAUUCUUGUUCUAUUAAUAGGUUACCAAAUUAUUGUUCUAUUUGAAGAAGAGAGUUUCCCAUCUCUUACUCGGGUACCUUCUCCAAGUUAUAAGGAACCAGAUGGAAGCCAUUGAAUUGUUAGUCUACCUUCCUCCAUUGGAGUCUGAGGCAUAGAUGGACCGAAAGGGGAAUCAUCUAGCUUUAGAUGGGGGAGGAGAGCACGACUUGUGCUAGAACUUCUUCAAGAAAUUUGACAAAUUUACGCUUCUCAACCUUACUCAUGGCUCUCGCGUCUUGAUGUUUCAAGAGUUUCUCGUGGAGGGUACGUAAGGCUAUCCCCAACUGAAUCUUUGACUGGGGGAGAGAUGAUUCCGUCAGGGAAUUUAAUGUAAAAAUUCGAAAAACAAACAGAUAACAUUAUUAUUAGAGGAAACGUUUCAAAUAAAAUAUUUAAAAUGAUAUAUUUUGUGAAAUAUUAAUUUAGAACGUUCAAUUAUUUUAAAUUAAAUGAAACACAUCUUAAGGUAGAUCAUAUCUCCAGGUUGUAUAUCUCAAUUUACUCCAAAUAAAUAUGUUAGAUUAAUAUCUCAUUUGAAGUUUACCCAAUUAAUAGAUGAGAGGUCGGAGAUCGAACGACAGGAUGAAAUUAGUGGAAUGUUUUAGAGAUUAAUUUUAUACCAUUUAAAUGAAAUAAAAGAGUACUUAUAGUAUUACAAUAUUUGUAAUUAAUUAAUUAAUUCUAAAGGAUUUUUAAUAUAAAAAUUCUAAUUGGAGAAGCGGUCUUCCGCUUCUCUCUCCGGCUCGGACCCGGUUCAUCACCGUUGGGUGAUUUUUGUUUACCGUGGUCUUCCCCCAAUUAAGUUAGGAUUUAGUUCGUCUUCUUCAACAACAACUCUUCUAAUCGUCGUGCUAUCUUCCUGGAUAGUGGAGCAGUCUAUCAGCAUCAUAUCAUCGUCGGCUUCUUCAGAUUCGGCAUUGUCUUCAAUGUUGAUAGGAGGGAAAAGACGCAACACAUCUUCAUGAAAUUCCCAAGACGAGUCCUCCGGUAUCGCUCCAUUCCAAGCGACCAGCCAUUGAUUUCUCUGUCUCGAUCUCACCCUGAAAAAUGGUACGCUUAUUAGAAUAAAUAACUUCUACUGUUUUUUUAGUUGAGUUUAAUAUUCUCAAAUACAAGUUUAUACAAUGAGUUAGCUGUUAGAGGUUAAUUAGUUUUAGAUACUCUUUCUUAUAAAUACUUUUGUAAGACUGCAUUCUUGGUUAAUGAAUUGAGUUCUUUCUUUUGAGAUUAUUGUUGAAUUGAACUUGAAACAAGCACCAAAAUCUUGGUACUCAAGACUGAGUGCAUUCCUAAUAUUAAAUGAAUUCUCUAACAGUCUGGCAGAUACAUUAUUGUUUCAAAAAAAAGAUAAUUUUUUAAUUUGAGUAAUUGUGUAUAUAUAUAGAUGACAUUAUAAUUUCAAGAAACAACAACAUUGAAAUUGAAGUUUUUAUUAAAAAUCUUUGUACUGCAUGAAUUUAGAUGUAGAGACCUAGGACUUUUGAAAUAUUUCUUUAGUAUAGAAAUUAGAUACAAUUUUGAUGGGUCACUUAACAUGACUCAAUCUAGAUAUGCAUUGAAUAUUUUAAGUAAAAACAACAUGCUAAAUUGUAAACUCAUAAGAACAUCAAUAUUGCAAAUUCCAAAUUGUCCAAAGAAAAUGGAGAAUUGUUAUAAGAUAUAGCAGCUUAUAGAGCCUUAGUUGGAUCCUUACAGUACAUACUUGGCACAAACAAGGCCCUGAUUUUAUUUAUGCAAUAAAUCAAGUGACUCAAUUUGUACAAGCUCCUAGAACUACUCACCUAGUAGCGGCCAAGAGAAUACUAAUGUAUAUAAAAUGAAUUUUAGAUCAUGGUCUUCAUUUUACCAAUACCAAAAGAACUGCCAUAAAUUGAUAGGUUUUUGUGAUGCUGAUCGAUUUUGCUGGUGAUCCAGACACCAGAAAAUCAACAACAGGCUAUUGUGUAUAUAUCGGAGGAAAUCUAGUGACAUGGUCAUCAAAGAAAUAGACAAUUAUUUCAAGAUCCAGUGCUAAGGCUCAAUAUAGAGCCUUAGCAAGUCAUACAACUGAAAUUAGAUGGACUCACUUCAUAUGUAAGGACCUUCUAUAUAAUUUACAUCAGAUACCUUUGUUAUAUACAGAUAACAGUUCAGCCAUUUUUAUGGCUAGAAACUGUUAAGUUUUGAUAUGUGUAUGAAAUAUAAUCCAAGUAUGGUUUAAUGAUUAAUCCAGAGUAAAGUAAAAUAGUGUUGAUGCAACGGAUAAUAUUGAUUGUUUAAUUUAUCUAAUGAGUAUGAUCAAGAUGUGUUGCAGGUAGAUAAUGUUUGACAGGGAUGAUAUAUAUAUGAUUUGUCCAAGUAGAUGCGGAGAUAUGUGUAUGCAUGCAAUAGAUAUCAGGUAUGAUAUAUAUAUGAAAUGUAAGCAGAUGAUUUAGCAAUACUGAGAUCGUUUGGAGAGCAAGGAGAUGACGAUGUAGGAGAGUCGAUGACUGAGUGUAGAGCAGAUCGGAGUGAAGCUGAUGAUGACUUUGAUCCACAGAUGAUGAUUAAUCCCAAAGGGAGUAUGAUUUUGAAACUUAGUAUCACAAACUGUAAAACAAUGUUAGGUUUGAGUUUGAUAUAUAUAGAUGGUUUAAAUGUUUGAUUCCAGCUUACAACGGUCAUAAGCUCAAGGUUCAACUGGCGCUUGUUGUCACUGUUGCUGAAGGCAAAGGUGACAUUAAGUGAUGGUUGGAGCUUCCUAGGAUUUUUACCAUAUUAAAGGUUUAGGUAUUAAAUUGAUCAUGUAAGGGUUUAAAUUAUAAAUUGGUUAAUGAGGGUUCAUAUUGUAAAUGUUGUAAAUGGAUUUAUGUAAUAAUUUUAUACGCCCCCUCAAAAGCGAGUUGGGCUGAAAAGAAACGAACUUUUGGACUGGUCCAUGUUCCAAUCUUUAAAUAUAAAAAGGGUUUUGUAAAUUUGAUUUUGGUUGUAAACACGAAUCGUCUUGUAGGGUUUCAGAGGGAAAUGAGGGUUUCACUGGAGGCAAGGGUUUGCUGGAGGCAAUCGUUCGGGUAUGUUUCUAGUCUUCUUCUUUUGUGCAUGUCGCUCUAUUCCUCUUGUUUAUGUUGUCUUUGGUUGGGUAUCCUUAUUCAUUUGUAUUCUUAAUGGGUUUUGUAGUGGGUGUUCUGUCUGUUAAUGUGUUUGCAUGUCAGUGUUUUCUUUCUUGGUGUUUGUUUUCCUUCAUCCAUUGUGUUUGUUUUCCUCUAUCAGUCUGUUCCGUGUAAGUUUUCCAUUUUCAGUUUCUUUUUGAGAUGAUUGAAUAGAUAUCCUGUAACAUCUUUUGUGAAGAUGUCUUCCACGUUUUCUUUGGUGUUUACCCUUUCUAUUUCAAUCUCUUUUUGUAAAGCUUUGUCUCUGAUCGUGUGUGUAUCGAUUUCUAUGUGUUUUGUUCUUAAUUUGAUGUAAGACUGGGUUUGUUGCAAUUGCAGUUGCAGAGGAACUAUUAAUUUGUAUAGAGUUUUGGAGUUACUAUAUUUACUUGCAUUUCCUUUAAUAGUUGUUUUAGCCAUGUGAUUUCACAAGUUGUGUGUGCUAAGGGUCGGUACUCUGCCUCUGCUGACGAUCUUGUUACUGUAUGUUGUUUUUUGGUUUGCCAUGAAACUAGGUUAUCAUUCAAGAAGAUGGCAAAUCCUGAUGUGGAUCGUCUGGUUGUGGGGAAAGAGGCCCAGUCAGAGUCUGAAAAUACUUUAAUCCUUGCGGUUCUUGUGCCUGAUGAGAAGAAAAGUCCACUUCCUGGUGAGUUUUUAAUGUAUCUUAAUAUUUUGUUCACCUUAGUAGAGUCUUCAUUUGUUGGUUCUGACAUGUGUUGGCUUAGUUGGUUUACUACAUAUGUUAUAUCGGGUUUGGUUACAGUUAGGUAGACAAGUUUUCCAACUAUGCAUCUGUACUCAGUAGGAUCAUCAAGUAAUUUAAUUUCCUUGUUCUGUUUGUUUGACGAUCUUGAUGGUGUAUAGAGUGGGUAUUCUCCUGGUUUAGCAUGUAGAUAGUUGUUUUGUUCAAGGAUUUCUAAUGCAUAUUUUCUUUGGCUUAUAAAAAUCCCAUGUUGUGUUGUUGUGAAUUCUAAUCCUAAGAAUUUUUUUAAUGUUCCUAGAUCUUUGAUGUUAAAAAAACUGGUUAAAUCUGUCUUAAGUUUGAUUAUUUCUUUUAAGUUAUUUCCUGUGAUUAAUAGAUCAUCUACAUAUGGUAGGAUGAAAAUUUUAUUUUUCCCAUUGAUCUUACCGAAGAGAGCAUAAUCCUCUCUUGUCUGUUUAAAACCUAAUUUGUUUAGUACUUGUUGUAGUUUGUUAAACCACAUUCUAGAUAUUUGUUUUAAGCUAUAUAGAGGUUUUGUUAAUUUGCAUGCUAGUUUGUGGUUGUCUGUUGGUUCUUUGUUGAUCCUUAGACCUUGGUGAGACAUGCCUGAUUACGACAGUCACUCCCAGCAACGCCUUUCAAUAAGGACUAGGGUUCCGUCACUUUACCCCCGGAAGGCUCCCACGGUGCGGAACAAGUUCAUCGUCAAAUCGCGAGUUAACCCGUAAAUCGCGAUUGGACUACCAAAUCGCCGAUUUUAUGGACAAAUCGUUGAGUUAGGGCCCAGAUCGGCAGUAUGGUAGACUGCAUAUCUCGCCCCUUGAAACUCGACGAGUUUACCCUAAUAGGCGAUUUUCAUACCUGAAUCGUCGAUUUACGACCGUUACUCGCCGCCAGCCAACGCCAUAAAUGAACCCAUAUAUGGCAAUAGGCCUCGAUAUCCUCCUUUGAUCGCGCCCUCCGAGACCCUAUAAAAAGGGUCCCAAGGGGACACUCAAAGGCACAACACAAGUUCCACUCUCACCAGAGCACCACUAAGAGAAUCGCCGAUUUCCACACCAGAAUCGCCGAUUCUCUCCUUUCAGGUAUUUGACGUAGAGCGCGCGUCGUGGACUCCAGAGCCUCCGGCAUCACCUCGCACUACCGCGAGCCUUGGUAGCAGAUUCAGUGCUUCAUCAGAAGGCAUUUUGAACAUCCAUCUGAUGGAGGUGCCAUCCUUGGUGAGACAUGCCUGAUUACGGCAGUCACUCCCAGCAACGCCUUUCAACAAGGACUAGGGUUCCGUCGCUUUGGCCGGACCCCCGGAGAGCUCCCACGGUGCGGAACACGUUAAUCGUCCAGAUCGCCGAGUUAGCCCGUAAGUCGCCCGAUUGGACUACCAAGUCUCCGACAUAAAGGAUAAGUCGCCGAUUUAAGGGCAAGAUCGGCAGUAUGGUAGACUGCACAUCUUGCCACUGGAAACUCGGCGAGUUAGCCCUAACUAGGCGACUUCCAUACCUGAAUCGCCGACUUACGAAAGUUACUCGCCACCAGCCAACGUCAAAAAUGUUACCAUAUAUGACCAAAGGCGCGAUGUCCGCCUUUGAUUGCGCCCUCCAAGACCCUAUAAAAAGGGUCCCAAGGGGACACUCAAAGGCAUGAUUCAAGUUCCUCUCUCACACCAGAGCAUCACUAAGAAACUCGUUGAUUCUCAUUAGAAUCGCCUAGUUUCUCCUUGCAGGUAUUUGACGUAGAGCGCGCGUCGUGGACUCCGGAGCCUCCGGCAUCACCUCGCACCACCGCGAGCCCUAGUAGCAGAUUCAGUGCUUCAUCAAAUGUUCUUCAGAAAAUCGAGAAUACAACUUGUACGUCACUGUUCUUUUAUUAUUUGGUUAUUUACAGUCUAUGGUUUUUAGUCCUUGAUAGAUAUUAGAUAUUUAAUAUUAUUUAUCUAAUAUAGGUUUUAUCUAUUUUUGUGGAUUUCUUUGUCGUUUUCUUUACAUGUCGAAUUUUAUUUAUUCUUGUUCUAUUAAUAGGUUAAUAAAUUCUUGUUCUAUUUGAAGAAGAGAGUUUCCCACCUCUUCCUCAGGUACGUACCUUCUCCAAGUUAUAACGGACCUGAUGGAGGUUAUUGAAUUCUUAAUCUACCCUCCUCCAUUAUAGUCUGGGGCAUAGAUGGGCAGGAAGGGGAAUCAUCUUUAGAUGGAGGUGAUCGCCACCACUAAGUCAGACUUUAUAACAUUCCGGUGAUGGAUAUACACUUCCGAUGUUAUAAAAUCAUAUUUAAAAAUCCAACCUUGUCUCUGAUACCAAAUGAUAGAAAUUAUCAUACUUUAUGAUCUAAGAUUUUUAUAUCAACAACCCAAUGAUCCAAGCCUGGAUUAACUUGAUAUCUUCCUAAGAGUCCAACCACAAAUGCAAUAUCUGGUCUAGUGCAUACCUGAGCAUACAUUAGACUUCCAUAAGGAAAUGCUUUCAUUUCAUUCUUCUGUAAGUCUGUUAGAGGACAUUGAGCUAAAUUCAAUUUAUCACAUUUUACAAUUGAAGCAACACUUGACUUACAUUCUGAGAGAUUAAACCUUUGUAAUAUACGAUCGAUGUAAGCUGAUUGAGAAAGACCUAACAAAUGUCUAGAUCGAUUUCUGUUGAUCUCAAUACCAAGAACAAAAGAUGCUUCACCCAAAUCUUUCAUAUCAAAUUCACUUGAUAAGAAUUUCUUUGUUUCAAAUAAUAUACUUAAAUCGUUGCAAGCAAGUAAUAUAUCAUCAACGUAUAGAACAAGCAAAACAUAUUUGCUCCCUCUGACCUUGUGAUAUAUACAUGGAUCCAUGAGAUUUUCCGAAAAACCAUAUGAAGAAAUGAUUUCAUGGAAUUUAAUAUGUCAUUGUCUUGAUGCUUGUUUAAGUCCAUAUAUAGACUUUUUAAGUCUACAAACAAGCUUGUCAUUUUCUUCAAAACCUUGUGGUUGCGUCAUAUAUAUUUCUUCAUUGAGAUUCCCAUUAAGAAAAGCGGUUUUAACAUCCAUUUGAUGUAGUUCUAGAUUGUAGUGAGCCACUAAAGCCAUAAUGAUUCUAAAAGAAUUCUUCGAGGAAACUGGUGAAAAUGUUUCAUGAUAUUCAAUUCUCUCUCUUUGAGUGAAUCCUUUGGCAACCAAUCUAGCCUUAAACCGCUAAAUCUUUCCUCUGGAAUCUCAUUUGGUUUUAAAAGCCCAUUUGCAACUCACAACUUUAACACCCUCAGGUAACUGAAUAAGUUCUCAUUCUUUAUUAUGGUACAUAGACUGCAUCUCAUCUUUCAUUUCAUCUUGCCACAAAUUAAUCACAUUGUGCACUUGCAACCGCUUGAUCAUAUGAGAUAGGGUCAACUGUACUACUACAACCAAUGUCAUAGUCGUAUUCUCCUAAAUAAACUUCAUAAUCAUUAGGGAUAGCUGAUCUUCUUUCUCGAGUAGUCCUCCUUGGUUCAAUAACUAGUGGAUCUACUGGUGUAAUAAUUGGUUCAUCAACUUGAGCAAUAACUGGUGUGUCAACGGAUGUCACUGAAGAUGUGGUUGGUUUAAUCGAAAAUAAGGGUAUAACUACUGUUAAUGGUUGAUGGUCCAAUGAAUUAGAAACCUCUGAAGUAUUAACAUCUGCUACAUCAUUUUCUAAGAAUUUUGCUGUUCGAGAAUCUACAAUUAUUGUUCCACCAUGAGGUCUAUAAAAUCGAUAUACCUUAUAAUGAUUCGGAUAUCCCACAAAAUAGCAUGUCACUGUUCUUGAAUCUAACUUGUUUAAUGUUGGAUUGUAUAAUUUCACCCCUACAGGAUAACCCCAAAUCUUCAAAUGAUUUAAACUAGGUUUUCUACCUGUCCAAAGUUCAAAAGGUGUAACUGGUACUGACUUACUUGGGACUCGAUCAAAAUAUACAAUGCUGCUUGUAUUGCUUCACCCCACAAGAAUGUUGUUAAAUUUGCUCUACUAGUCAUGCUUCUCACCAUAUCCAUUAGGGUACGAUUUCUUCUUUCUGCCGCUCCAUUCUGCUCAGGAGUUCCUGACAUAGUGUAUUGCCCAAUUAUUCCAGAUUCUUCCAAAUAUUAUGCAAAAGGACCUUUAAGUUGUCCAACAUCUCCAUGUUUACCGUAAUAUUCUACACCUCUAUCUAUCUGAUCUAACAAUCUUUAUAGAUUUUUCCAAUUGUUUCUCAACUUCUGUUUUGAAUACUUUAAAUUUCUCUAAAGAUUCAUAUUUUUCUUUGAUAAGAAACAAAUAGCCAUAUUUAGAAAAAUCAUCUAUAAAUGUUAUAAAAUAUAAGCAUCCACACAGAGUUUUAUGAUAUGGUCCACUAAUAUCCGUAUAAAUAAUCUCCAAAAGACUAGUGUUACGAGUAGCAGUCUUUUUGCCUUUCUUGGUCAUUUUCCUCUUAAGACAAUCAAUACAUUCUGCAUUGUCAUUAUCUAAAGAAGGAAGAAUGGUCGAUUUAACCAAUCUUUUAAUUCUAUCUUGUGAAAUAUGAUCUAACCUUUUAUGCCAUAACGUAUAUGAUUUUUCUUUAUUUAAGGGUCUUUUGGAAACUGUAUUUUCCACAUUACAAGCUAUAUAGAACUUCAUAGAAUCAAGACAUAAUCUGUAUAGGUCAUAAGACAAAACACAAUUACCCAUAAUCUUUGAGUUAUGAAACAUUGAAACUGUAUUGUUCUUAAAUUCAAAAGAAAAACCAUGUUUUCUUAAUUUACUAACAGAAAUUAGAUUCCGUCUAAACGACGGAGCAUACAAAGUGUCUUUCAAUGUUAAACCAAAUCCUGAAUCUAGAUUUAAAAUAACAUCGCCCACAAAUUCUAAAUCAGUUUGUCCAUCAUUUCCUACUAACAAUCUUGAUUCAUCCUGAUUUGGCUUCCUUCUAUUUGUGAAUCCCUGUAUGGUGAAUGCAACAUGAUUAGUUGCUCCACUAUCCAACAACCAAGAACUAGAUGAAGAUUCUAUUAAAUUAGAUUCAUAAACUAAUGUCAAAGAAUCAAUACCUUUUUGUUCCUGUUUUAUGAGCCAAGAUUUAAACUUUAAGCAAUUCUACUUUAUGUGUCCCGGUUUCAUACAGAAGAAACAUCCAUUGAUUGCUUUCUUGAGGGAGUUCUUGUUAGAACCAAAUUUGUCAGAUAAGUUGGUAUCCUUAGAAUCUUUAUUUUUCACAAACAUUUUGAACUUAAAUCCUUUCUUAUUUGAACUAUACAUUGUUAUCGAAGAUUUUUCGCCUUUUAUUUUAUCUCCUAUGUCUCCAAAUAAUUAUUUCUUUUAAUUCGAGCCCAGCUCGCGGGUUCGAGCCCGGGCCCAAACCUAACAAUUCUUAAAACGAGCCGAGCCCGAGCCUGGCUCUAUAAGCAAAAGCUCAACUUGUUUGACACCCUAAUCUCUGAUAAAUAUUCCGAGAAUAUUUUGCCACUUAUCUUCAAAUUCUGAAGUUUUUUGGCGUAGACUCAUCACAUACGAUCGAGAAUUAGAUGCAAAUUGCAUUUGAAGUGUUUCCCAUACCUCAUGUGCCGUAGCACAAUCAGAGACUUCCGACAGUACCGAGGGUGAAAUUGAUGAAAAUAGCCAUCCUAAAAUCAAUUGAUCUUGCUUGAUGGCAAGAGAGUUGUCCAAUUUUUCCCUACCGGCCAGAUAGUCCAUCAGCUCAUGACCUCGGAUAUUAGCCCCAAAUUGGGCUCUCCACGCGAAGUAAUUGCUGCGGUCUAGGGCUACAGUCUUGAAGUUCUUGGCGGUCACCUUUCCUGGUGCGUCGUUGCCAUAGAGCUUCUUUGCAGCCAGCGAAAUCCCUUUGUCAGCUUCGUCAAUCGACAUUGCGUAUCGGAAAAAAAUUGUGAUCGUCAACGAUCUUGGAGCGAUUCCGAUGAUCAGAGAUGUGCGGCUUCCCAAGAUCAGCUAGGCGAAAGGUACCAUAACAGUGAAUUGAAAUAUAUGAAUGGGGAAAGCCAAACUCGAUCCCUUUCAUAUUCAAUAGAAAGAUCUAUUUAUACAAUUUGUUACUCUAAUAUCCUAUUUGUUUGUUCUUUUGUAUUAUCGAUAUUUAUUGUCUAUUUUUUAUAAUGUUCUUGUCUAUUUUUAUAUUUACAGUCUAUGGUUUUUAGUCCUUGAUACUUGAUAGAUAUUUGAUAUCUAUUAUAUAUUUUAUCUAUUUUUAUGGUUUCUUUGUCGUUUUCUUUAUUCAUUUUUAUUCAUUCUUGUUCUAUUAAUAGGUUACCAAAUUCUUGUUCUAUUUGAAGAAGAGAGUUUCCCAUCUCUUACUCGGGUACCUUCUCCAAGUUAUAAGGAACCAGAUGGAGGCCAUUGAAUUGUUAGUCUACCUUCCUCCAUUGGAGUCUGAGGCAUAGAUGGACCGAAAGGAGAAUCAUCUAGCUUUAGAUGGUGGAGGAGAGCACGACUUGUGCUAGAACUUGUUCAAGAAAUUUGACAAAUUUACGCUUCUCAACCUUACUCAUGGCUCUCGCGUCUUGAUGUUUCAAGAGUUGUUCGUGGAGGGUACGUAAGGCUAUCCCCAAUUGAAUCUUUGACUGGGGGAGAGAUGAUUCCGUCAGGGAAUUUAAUGUAAAAAUUCGAAAAACAAACAGAUAACAUUAUUAUUAGAGGAAAUGUUUCAAAUAAAAUAUUUAAAAUGAUAUAUUUUGUGAAAUAUUAAUUUAGAACGUUCAUUUAUUUUAAAUUAAAUGAAACACAUAUUAAGGUAGAUCAUAUCUCGAGGUUGUAUAUCUCAAUUUACUCCAAAUAAAUAUGUUAGAUUAAUAUCUCAUUUGAAGUUUACCCUAUUAAUAGAUGAGAGAUCGGAGAUCGAACGACAGGAUGGAAUUAGUGGAAUGUUUUAGAGAUUAAUUUUAUACCAUUUAAAUGAAAUAAAAGAGUACUUAUACUAUUACAAUAUUUGUAAUUAAUUAAUUCUAAAGGAUUUUUAAUAUAAAAAUUCUAAUUGAAGCAGCGGUCUUCCGCUUCUCUCUCCGGCUCGGACCCGGUUCAUCACCGUUGGGUGAUUUUUUUUUACCGUGGUCUUCCCCCAAUUAAGUUAGGAUUUAGGUCGUCUUCUUCAACAACAACUCUUCUAAUCGUCAUGCUAUCUUCCUGGAUAGUGGAGCAGUCUAUCAGCAUCAUAUCAUCGUCGGCUUCUUCAGAUUCGGCAUUGUCUUCAAUGUUGAUAGGAGGGAAAAGACGCAACACAUCUUCAUGAAAUUCCCAAGACGAGUCCUCCGGUAUCGCUCCAUUCCAAGCGACCAGCCAUUGAUUUCUCUGUCUCGAUCUCACCCUGAAAAAUGGUACGUUUAUUAGAAUAAAUAACUUCUACUGUUUUGUUAGUUGAGUUUAAUAUUCUCAAAUACAAGUUUAUACAAUGAGUUAGUUGUUAGAGGUUAAUUAGUUUUAGAUACUCUUUCUUAUAAAUACUUUUGUAAGACUGUAUUCUUGGUUAAUGAAUUGAGUUCUUUCUUUUGAGAUUAUUGUUGAAUUGAGCUUGAAACAAGCACCAAAAUCUUGGUACUCAAGACUGAGUGCAUUCCUAAUAUUAAAUGAAUUCUCUAACAGUCUGGCAGAUACAUUAUUGUUUCAAAAAAAAGAUAAUAUUUUAAUUUGAGUAAUUGUGUAUAUAUAUAGAUGACAUUAUAAUUUCAAGAAACAACAACAUUGAAAUUGAAGUUUUUAUUAAAAAUCUUUGUACUGCAUGAAUUUAGAUGUAGAGACCUAGGACUUUUGAAAUAUUUCUUUAGUAUAGAAAUUAGAUACAAUUUUGAUGGGUCACUUAACAUGACUCAAUCUAGAUAUGCAUUGCUUAUUUUAAGUAAAAACAACAUGCUAAAUUGUAAACUCAUAAGAACAUUAAUAUUGCCAAAUUCCAAAUUGUCCAAAGAAAAUGGAGAAUUGUCCAAAGAAAUUAAGAUGACACCAGAAAAUCAACAACAAGCUAUUGUGUAUAUAUCGGAGGAAAUCUAGUGACAUGGUCAUCAAAGAAAUAGACAACUAUUUCAAGAUCCAGUGCUGAGGCUCAAUAUAUAGCCUUAGCAAGUCAUACAACUGAAAUUAGAUGGACUCACUUCAUAUGUAAGGACCUUCUACAUAAUUUACAUCAGAAACCUUUGUUAUAUACAGAUAACAGUUCAGCCAUUUUUAUGGCUAGAAACUGUUAAGUUUUGAUAGGUGUAUGAAAUAUAAUCCAAGUAUGGUUUAAUGAUUAAUCCAGAGUAAAGCAAAAUAGUGUUGAUACAGCGGAUAGUAUUGAUUGUUUAAUUUAUCUAAUGAGUAUGAUCAAGAUGUGUUGCAGGUAGAUAAUGUUUGACAGGGAUGAUAUAUAUAUGAUUUGUCCAAGUAGAUGCGGAGAUAUGUGUAUGCAUGCAAUAGAUAUCAGGUAUGAUAUAUAUAUAUGCAGGUGAUUUAGCAAUACUGAGAUCGUUUGGAGAGCGAGGAGAUGACGAUGUAGGAGAGUCGAUGACUGAGUGUAGAGCAGAUCGGAGUGAAGCUGAUGAUGACUUUGAUCCACAGAUGAUGAUUAAUCCCAAAGGGAGUAUGAUUUUGAAACUUAGUAUCACAAACUGUAAAACAAUGUUAGGUUUGAAUUUGAUAUAUAUAGAUGGUUUAAAUGUUUGAUUCCAGCUUAUAACGGUCAUAAGCUCAAGGUUCAACUGGCGCUUGUUGUCAAUGUUGCUGAAGGCAAAGGUGGCAUCAAGUGAUGGUUGGACCUUCCUAGGAUUUCUAUCAUAUUGAAGGUUUAGGUAUUAAAUUGAUCAUGUAAGGGUUUAGAUUAUAAAUUGGUUAAUGAGGGUUCAUAUUGUAAAUGUUGUAAAUGGAUUUAUGUAAUAAUUUUAUACGCCCCCUCAAAAGCGAGUUGGGCUGAAAAGAAACGAACUUUUGGACUGGUCCAUGUUCCAAUCUUUAAAUAUAAAAAGGGUUUUGUAAAUUUGAUUUUGAUUAUAAACACGAAUCGUCCUGUAGGGUUUCAGCGGGAAAUGAGGGUUUCACUGGAAGCAAGGGUUUGCUGGAGGCAAUCGUUCGGGUAUGUUUCUAGUCUUCUUCUUUUGUGCAUGUCGCUCUAUUCCUCUUGUUUAUGUUGUCUUUGGUUGGGUAUCCUUAUUCAUUUGUAUUCUUAAUGGGUUUUGUAGUGGGUGUUCUGUCUGUUAAUGUGUUUGCAUGUCAGUGUUUUCUUUCUUGGUGUUUGUUUUCCUUCAUCCAUUGUGUUUGUUUUCCUCUAUCAGUCUGUUCUGUGUAAGUUUUCCAUUUUCAGUUUCUUUUUGAGAUGAUUGAAUAGAUAUCCUGUAACAUCUUUUGUGAAGAUGUCUUCCACGUUUUCUUUGGUGUUUACCCUUUCUAUUUCAAUCUCUUUUUGCAAAGCUUUGUCUCUGAUCGUGUGUGUAUCGAUUUCUAUGUGUUUUGUUCUUAAUUUGAUGUAAGACUGGGUUUGUUGCGAUUGCAGUUGCAGAGGAACUAUUAAUUUGUAUAGAGUUUUGGAGUUACUAUAUUUACUUGCAUUUCCUUUAAUAGUUGUUUUAGCCAUGUGAUUUCACAAGUUGUGUGUGCUAAGGGUCGGUACUCUGCCUCUGCUGACGAUCUUGUUACUGUAUGUUGUUUUUUGGUUUGCCAUGAAACUAGGUUAUCAUUCAAGAAGAUGGCAAAUCCUGAUGUGGAUCGUCUGGUUGUGGGGAAAGAGGCCCAGUCAGAGUCUGAAAAUACUUUAAUCCUUGCGGUUCUUGUGCCUGAUGAGAAGAAAAGUCCACUUGCUGGUGAGUUUUUAAUGUAUCUUAAUAUUUUGUUCAACUUAGUAGAGUCUUCAUUUGUUGGUUCUGACAUGUGUUGGCUUAGUUGGUUUACUACAUAUGUUAUAUCGGGUUUGGUUACAGUUAGGUAGACAAGUUUUCCAACUAUGCAUUUGUACUCAGUAGGAUCAUCAAGUAAUUUAAUUUCCUUGUUCUGUUUGUUUGACGAUCUUGAUGGUGUAUAGAGUGGGUAUUCUCCUGGUUUAGCAUGUAGAUAGUUGUUUUGUUCAAGGAUUUCUAAUGCAUAUUUUCUUUGGGUAAUAAAAAUCCCAUGUUGUGUUGUUGUGAAUUCUAAUCCUAAGAAUUUUUUUAAUGUUCCUAGAUCUUUGAUGUUAAAAAAACUGGUUAAAUCUGUCUUAAGUUUGAUUAUUUCUUUUAAGUUAUUUCCUGUGAUUAAUAGAUCAUCUACAUAUGGUAAGAUGAAAAUUUUAUUUUUCCCAUUGAUCUUACUGAAGAGUGCAUAAUCCUCUCUUGUCUGUUUAAAACCUAAUUUGUUUAGUACUUGUUGUAGUUUGUUAAACCACAUUCUAGAUGCCGAUCCAGAGGCUCAAUCGCCGACUCCCCAUGAGCCUAGUGGCAGUCUACCAGAACUGUCCACGAAGCCUAGAGUCAGCGAUUCACCCCUGAAGUCGGCGACUUGGUAGUCCCAGUCGGCGACUCCCAGGUGCUGCCUUGAGUACUUGACGUAGACACUCCUUCCAAAUUCGUGGAACUCUUCGAGGGUCCGGCAUAAGGCGACGGAACCCUAGUCCUUGUCGAAGGGCGUUGCUGGGAGUGGCUGACGUGAUCAGGCAUGUCUCACCAGUACUCCCCCCUGAAGAGAGCAUGGCAAAACACCUGUGUACCGCCAGUAUCCCCCCCAAGCAAGGUGAUCUGCAUCAAGGCGAGUAGCGACAAGAUGGGAUUGAGUCAUUGCGCUCACAGCGACACUAAUGGCUCCGCAUGGUCCAUGCACUAUCAGAUGGACUGAUUCACUAUCAGAAUCUAGUUCCAGGCCAAUGGAACUACAUGUUUAUAGUCCUACUCUGAUCAAGAGCGACUUUUGCUGUGUGGAUUCUGGCCGAAGCGACAAAAUGCAUGGAUUCACUAUUAGAAUCUGAUUCUGGCCGAAGCGACAGAAUGCGUGGAUUCACUAUUAGAAUCUGAUUCUGGCCGAAGCAACAGAAUGCGUGGAUUCGUUAUCCGAAUCGGGUUCUGGCCGAAGCGACAAAUCGCGUGGAUUCAUUAUUAGAAUAUGAUUCUGGCCGAAGCGCGAGAAUGCGUGGAUUCGUUAUCCGAAUCGGGUUCUGGCCGAAGCGACAAAUCGCGUGGAUUCAUUAUUAGAAUCUGAUUCUGGCCGAAGCCCGAGAAUCUAGUUCACUAUCAGAACUGAUGUUUAUAGUCUACCCUGAUCAAGAGCGACUUGGUGUCCGCAACGACGGUUACCCCAUAGGCCGAAGCGCAAGAUGGGUCGAGAUCAUUAAGGUCAAAGCGACAAAAUGAUCUCCAAAUGUUCGAAGGACUAUUGAAGCCAAAGUGACAACAUAAUUCUUGCCGAAGCGACAGAAUCAUGCCUGCAAAACAAAAAACAACCUGCAAAACAACUAUAUCAGUCUAAAGGAUAUAUUUAUUGAUUUACUGACCUUGCCGUGCGGAGCAGCCUCUCAUGCUGCUCCUCCUUAUGCUCAAUAAAUCCUUGAUUGAUCUGUCCGAAGCGACAGAUCUUUCAUGCUAAAAAAUGUGACAGCUUCUGGCCGAAGCGACAGAAGUGCCGACUCACUAUUAGAGUCUGAUUCUGACCAAGGCUACAGAUCCACNNNNNNNNNNNNNNNNNNNNNNNNNNNNNNNNNNNNNNNNNNNNNNNNNNNNNNNNNNNNNNNNNNNNNNNNNNNNNNNNNNNNNNNNNNNNNNNNNNNNNNNNNNNNNNNNNNNNNNNNNNNNNNNNNNNNNNNNNNNNNNNNNNNNNNNNNNNNNNNNNNNNNNNNNNNNNNNNNNNNNNNNNNNNNNNNNNNNNNNNNNNNNNNNNNNNNNNNNNNNNNNNNNNNNNNNNNNNNNNNNNNNNNNNNNNNNNNNNNNNNNNNNNNNNNNNNNNNNNNNNNNNNNNNNNNNNNNNNNNNNNNNNNNNNNNNNNNNNNNNNNNNNNNNNNNNNNNNNNNNNNNNNNNNNUAUUAGAACCUUUCCUGCAAAAAAGAAAACAUCCUGCAAAAUAACUAGAUCAGUUCGAAAACGCAUAUAUUUAUUAUUGAACUUACCGUGUGAUCUACCUUUCGUGAUGUCCCUCCUUUGCUCAAAUUUGUCCUCGGUAAAUCUGGCCGAAGCGACAGAUUUUACCGUGCUCAAUUUCUUUGACGACUUCUGGCCGGAGCGACAGAAGUGUCGGGAGAGCUUGUGAUACUCCCCCCUGAAAUGUGACGACUUCCAUCCUAUAGACAGAAGUGCCGGGAGAGCUUGUGAUACUCCCCCUCGAAAUGUGACGACUUCUAUCUAAAUAGACAGAAGUGCCGGGAGAGCUUGUGAUACUCCCCCUCGAAAUGUGACGACUUCCAUCCUAUAGACAGAAGUGUCGGGAGAGCUUGUGAUACUCCCCCCUGAAAUGUGACGACUUCCAUCCUAUAGACAGAAGUAUCGGGAGAGCUUGUGAUACUCCCCCUCGAAAUGUGACGACUUCCAUCCUAUAGACAGAAGUGUCGGGAGAGUUUGUGACACUCCCCCUCGCGAAUUGUGCCCUUGUGACACAAAAACAUUUGCGACGAGUGUUUUUCGAAGUAUGUGACUGUCGGUGAACUAUCUAUUGUUUUUCCUUUGCUAAUCUUUCAUAUAAAUUACCCUUCAAAUUGUAACUAAGGCCCGAAACUAGAUUCACAAGUCGUAAUUUAGCCACUCUGGACGUAAAUUAGACUCUGCUAACCCUAUUGCUAGCCACUCUGGGCAUAGACUUGGUCGUACGAAUCGUAGCUCAGUCUACGGUUAAAUUUAUGGACAAUUUAUACCUCUAGACUAGCGUCGGAUUACUAGAGAUAGAGUAAACGACGAAUCAGAGAUAUUCGACACUCAAAGGUUGCCUUAAAAUUCGGAACCUUAACGAUGGAGAGAGCUUGUGAUACUCCCUCCUGAAAUAUGAUGACUUCUGGCCGAAGCGACAGAAGUGUCGGGAGAGUUUGUGAUACUCCCCCCUUGAAAUUUGACAACUUCUGGUCGAAGUGACAGAAGUGUCGGGAGAGUUUGUGAUACUCCCCCCUGAAGACUUGCACUUGGGGCAGUUUUAGUGUUAUUUUACCCGGAAUCGGCAACAAGAGUUUGUGAUACUCCUACAGUCGGCGAUACCUAUGGUUUGGGUAACUGUAGAGGGUAUUUUUGUUUUUUACCCCUGCGAGUCGGCGACUCCCUCUGUGAGUCGGCGACUCCUAGUGUAACCGCCGGAUCUUUUUGGGAGAUCCUUGGGAUAUUGGGAAGAUAUACGGGGAUUAUUUGUAAAAUCUCCAAAUAAGGAAAUUUUUCUCACAGUGCUGUGAGUUUUUGCCCGGAGUCGACGACUGCCCUGUGGAGUCGGCGACUUGGCGUGAUUCGGGGGAUUUGGAGAUCGAUUCUUGAUCUCAAAUUUUGUAAAUUUUGGGUUUUCUAGGGGGUUUUUGCAAUUUUCCCAAGGGCUAUAAAUAGUGGAGAGGUUUUCCCCAAACCCUCACAACACUUUUGCCACUCUUAAAUCGCCCACACCUCCAGAUUUUUGAAUCGUCGAUUCUUCAGUUUUAAAACUUCGAAUCGCAGAUUCCCCCAAUGUCUACCCCCGAUUCCCCUUUGUCUCCAUUGAAGGAAAACGAAACGUCAGCUUUCAUAGCUGAGAUGAUUGUGGACAACCUUGAUGAGGUGUUGAACACCGUUGAAUCGCCGAUUCCCUCUCCUGACAGAGAGGUUGAGCCGGCGAUUCCGGUCGUGCCACCUCAUGGAAUGGAGUUGAGUGCCACCGUGCACGAACUACUUGGCGCCUCGCCAGUGUCGGCGACUCCCCUUGUGGAGUCGGCGACUCAGUGCAGGGCCCUUGUAGUCGUACGGGAGCCUCUUGAGCUGGGGGAAAUUCCCGUGGCCUCUGUGUCGGCGACUCCCAUUGUGGAGUUGGCGACUCACGCAGGUCCUGUUAAAGGGAAAUCCUUCAAGCGAAGGGGGCAGGGCUCAGCUGCCAUUGGGUCGGCGACUGCUGGCCAUGCCUCGCCGAUUCCUAUCAUUGAAUCGGCGACUCGUGUGCUGGAGUCGGCGACUCCUAUGCUUAUUGAUGAUUCUUCCGCGCGUCGCACCGUACCAUUGGUCAUGAGCGCGGAAGGCCGAAUCGUGUCGGGACUGAACCCGAACCAAGGUCCUUCUCUGAAGAGAAAGAGAAGGCGCACCACUGGGAAGGGCAAAGUACGCGUGCCCGAAGAGAACGAAGGGGUCCCUCCUCCAUUGAAUAUAAACUUCGAGGAGACCUUGACUGUGGACCGUGGUGCUCAAAAUCCAUGACGUAGAGCGGGCCGGCGCUCUGAGAGAACUCCGCCACCUCCCGUGGAUCUGAACGCUAGUCGAGACCCGGACCUCGACUUGAACACGUACGUUGGAGCUUUGAACCCCUCUGGGUUCGCUCACUGUGAAAUCGCCGCGAAUGGCAUACCAAGGUUGCUUCCUAUCGACCGUUUUGGGGACGGCGAUUAUGAACAAGUGAUGACUCAUGCAACCUUGGAUGGGUCCGAUGGAGUGAAUCCCCCCUCCAAUUUGAAUGCGAGCGACGCUCGAUCACUGCUGUCGGGGAUUCAGAUAUCUGGUCAUCUGCGAUUCUGGAUGUCGCGAUACCAGCCGAUUAAUCUGCCAUCCCCGGGAUUCUAGGCUAUCCCGAGGAUCUACUUCAAGCACUUCUCCGAGCUGCCAAUUCCGGAGAUCAUCAGUGAAGUGCUCUUGAGAUUUGAAGUGUCCCUGUCGCAGCUCCCUGCGGGAUUCUUUGUGAUCCUGCGUGGUUUCAUGAACAUCUGCUGGGGGCUCAAUGUUGCUGCGACGGCGAGCUUGUUUCUGUACUUCUACAAGCUCACCAGAGAGAAGUCUGCAUCCGGUCGCUUUGGAUUCACGCGGCGACACUUUGACAAAAAUAUCGUCGACGAGCUCCCGACGAACUUCGGAUGCAACUGGAGAAAAGAGUUUAUCUUCAUAACUUCUGAAUUUCUUCCCGGGAGUCGGGAAAUGUGGAAUGACCCUAAUCGAGUGCAUAUGAACGCCUCGAUCGAGCUGAGUACGAGGGAUAUUGAGGUCUCGGAUCGGAUAGCGCGUACGCUUACUGCAUACUCUGUGCCGCGCGGUGUUCCCUUUGUCCUUUGCCAAAGGGAAGACUUUACAUUUGAUGAUAUUGAGGAAGCUCGUGAGCCACCCACUGAGAAAGAGCUGGAAGGUGGACAAAAACGAUCGAUCCUAUACCACGACGCUGCACCUCUUUAUAUGCGCAAGAGGUUCCGAGAGGGCAAGCUGAUCAGAUUGCGAAAGAAGAAGACCUCUCGCAGCGAGCCUCGCCGGACCUUUGAGCAUGGGUCGAGCUCUCGCUCUGCACCACCACCUCCCAGGGGCUAUGUGCCUUACACUUCUGCUGGAGUGACACUUCCCGACUUCAUGGCUGAUGCUGAAACUCGAAGGGAAGCGAUGUCACUCCUUUUGGGUCAUCCUGGGACCUGGUGCCGGAGCGAGCUCUUAAAGCAUUUGAAUGCCGCAUGCUAUAUGGCACAUGCUUGUUAUCAUGGAGACUCUAUCCAUGACGUCGAGAAGAUACAAGAAAAAUACAACCAACUCGACGCGAAGUUCAAAGAGAGCGAGAAGGCUCUCGAUAAGCUGAAGAAUAUGAGGUCCAGGAUGGAGAACCUCCGUGACAAUAUUCUGCCGAAGAAGGACAAGACCAUUGAGUCCAAGCAGAAAGAAAUAGAUGAGUAUGUCACGAAGAUCUUGGCGCUUCGCAAAGAUCUGAAAGUUGCUAGUUCUGGCAGCACUAAAGACAUUGAAGAUCUAAAGAGCCAACUAGCUAAUGAGAAAGGGUACGUGGCCUCGCUUGAGGCUACGGUAGCGGAGUUGAAGAAGCAAGCUGCUCAGAGCCAACGAGAAACCACUGAGCUGAAAAGCGAGCUUGCAAGUGCGGAAGAAGAGGUUCUGACUCUGAAAGAUGACAAUGCCGCACUUGCUGGGAGAGCUGCUGGGUUGGAUUUGGAUGUACGUUACCAAUCCGACCAGCUUCAAGAGCUCAUAUUCUUUGGUCCUUCCGUGUAUCCUGCUCUACCCCCCGACUACAUCACGGACAUAAUGGCGUGGGUAGAGCAACAUCCUGAAGAGCUCGAGAAAAAUAAAGAAGCUCUCGACAAGAUGAAGGACGAAGCCGCGCGAGAAUAGAUUUUCUAAGUCCUUUUAUUUUGUAACCUUUUUGUACUCGUUAUCUUUUUGUAAAUCUGAAAAUUUUUAAUGAAAUUAAUCGCUUUUGCUUUUCUAUUCAAUUGUUCAUUUACUUUAUUCUUUUGAAUUGUAACUAAGACCCGAAACUAGAUUCGCGAGUCGUAAUUUAGCCGCUCUGGACGUAAAUUAGACUAACCCUAUCGCUAGCCACUCUAGGCGUAGACUUGGUCGUACGAAUCGUAGCUCAGUCUACGGUUAAAUUCGCGAAAAUAAACUAAACUUUACAACUAAUAGUAAGUCGCAAUAUCGAUUAACAAAUUCGAAAGAUAACAAAUAUGUCGAAAGAUAACUAUCAAUCCUAAGACUCUAGAGUUGUAGUUUUGCUCCAGCCAAGGUGACGGAGCAACUUUUUGUCCCAUACCAAAGAUGUAACAAUGAGAUGGGGUGAAAAUUUAAAAACGUUUACUAAUCUAUUAAGGCCGUAGCGACAUGAUAGAUUUUGAUUUGUGGUGGGUACUUAGAACCUCUUGUGGUUGGGUUCACUUGUCCCUAUCAACUACCUAGGACUCUGCUUUUAGACCCUAAUGCGUGGUUGAACUCUGGCCAUGAUGACAGAGCAACUUUUUGGACCCAUAUCUGGGCUGAAGUGAUCAUAAUGUGUUUAAAGAUAAUUUUGAUCUAUUAAGGCAAUAGCGACAAAAUAGAUUCAUAAAGUGGGGUGCUAGCUAGAGUCGUAGGUAGAUGAUAAAUCUAAAUUUUAUUAAAAGAUGUAAAUUACAACAGUAAGAUUUGUAAUUUUUAAACUAACACAUAGACUAAGAGGCUCUAACGUGCUUAAUACUAAGUGCGAUGUUGCUGUACGUUGUCCGUGUGCCAGAUGCAAGGACUUUUGGGUGACAGCUUAUUCCUAUUCCUCUUAGUUAUGCUAGCCUUUCUGUUGGUCUACCACCAGAUAGCAUAUGGAUGGUUUUCCGUGGGUGAUCUUCCCUAUUGUCACUGUCUGGUGAAGGAGAGCGUGGGCGCUUCCCAUUCACGUCAGACUUGCAAUUGUUUCGAUCCCGGGAUCCUUUGACCAGGCUGUCAAGUUCGCCGUUCGAAAUUAAUUGCUCGACAUAAAGCGAGAAUUCCCUGCAAUAGUCUGUCAGAUGGUCGUGGUCCUUGUGGAAUUCACAGAAUUUUCCACUUUUCUGGCGGCGAUCCUUGGUUGCAGGGUUCAUAGAGCGAGGAGCGGGCAGAUCCGCUCUGUUCUUCAGUUUUUCAAACAGCUCGCCUUUGCUGAUUGUUAGUGGGGUCCGGUUCCUCCAAGGUUGAGGUGGACCCCUUGGCGAUCGUUUGACGGAUAUUUGAUACACUUUGUUAUCAUGUUUAGGCUUCCAAUCCUUUCUGAAGGAAUCAGCCGCAUUGCUAGUGUAUCUGUUCGAGGAGUCAUUGUAGCUCUUUCUCUCGAACUUUUGUUUUUUGAAGCUAGUGUUCUCGAGUUCCACUAGCUUGUUUUCAUUCUGCUCUUCCACCUCAAUGAAUGACUGAGCUCGUUGGAAGAGGUCGGGUAAGGUCUCCACUUUGUGGAGUGUGAGAUUCAGGGCCAGAGGGGAGUAGGGUACCAGCACGUUUGUAUACCCCGCAAUGGCCAAACUUGGGAUUAAGUCGCUCACUUCUGUCAUCAUUGAAGUGAACUUAAACGUGUAAUCCCUUAGAGACAGUUUGUCCUGUCGUAGCGCCAAUAGUGCAUUGACGCUGUGUUUGAUCCUGAUCAUCCCCACAUGCUGGGCGAUGAAUUUGGAUGCGAGGUCUGCAAAGCAGGAAAUUGAUCCGGCUGGCAGACCAGAAAACCAUCGAUAGGCAUUGCCCUUAAGAGUGCCGGGGAAUGCUCGACACAGCAGUGCGUUAUCAGUGGUUUGCGGUUCCAGAACGCUGAGGUAGAGGUUGACGUGAUCUUGUGGAUCACUCGAACCAUCGUACGAUUCUAUUCUGGGUACCCGCCAGGUUGGUGGAAAGGCCACCUUCAAAAGGUCCUCUUGGAAAGGAGCGCUUUUGACUCUUAAGAACUCGAUCGGAUUGCUGAUGACUAGAGUGUCAGCCAGCUUCCGACGGAGGUCCUCUACGAAUCGUGUUGUAAGAGUCCUAUCAGUGCGACUCUUACUGGGUCCAGCUCUUAAUUUUUCUGGCUCUGGACCUUUCUUUUUCUCCGUAGUUGGAGAAUUGUGAGAAGCCGAUUUGGUAAGACAUGCCUUAUUACACCAGUCACUACCCAUCAACGCCUCUCAACAAGGACUAGGGCUCCGUCGCUAUGGCAGGACCCCCGGAGAGCUCCCACGGUGCGGAACACGUUCAUCGUCCAGAUCGCCGAGUUAGCCCGUAAAGUCGCCCGAUUGGACUACCAAGUCGCCGAGUUAAGGCAAGAUCGGCAGUAUGGUAGACUGUACGUCUUGGCCCUAGAAACUCGCCGAGUUAGCCCUUAACUAGGUGACUUCCAUACCUGAAUCGGCGACUUACGACCGUUACUCGGCGACAGCCAACGUCAUAAAUGUUACCAUAUAUGACCAUAGGCGCGAUCUCCGCCGAUGAGUGCGCCCUCCGAGACCCUAUAAAAGGGGUCCCAAGGGGACACUCAAAGGCACGAUUCAAGUUCCACUCUCACACCAGAGCACUACACUACGAAACUCGGCGAGUCUCAUUAGAAUCGCCUAGUUUCCACUUGCAGGUAUUUGACGUAGAGCGUGCGUCGUGGACUCCAAAGCCUCCGGCAUCAACCUCGCACCACUGCGAGCCCUGGUAGCAGAUUCAGUGCUUCAUCAGCUGACGCCGUCUGUGGGACUACCGAACCACCGGUAUCCCGUCGUAAUCGCGAUUUUUUAAAAAUCCGGCUCGAGCUCUCCCAAGAGUUCGCCGAGUUUGUCAAAAAAUCGCCUACUUAGAUCGUCCGAUUCUCGGUUAACGUCCGAUUUAGCCUUAAAUCGCCGACUUAUCCUUGAGAAUCGCCCGAUCCGGAAUAUCGUCUGCUAGCUAAGAGUGUUGUCCACGACCUUGUUCGGAAAAACCCCUAACUCGCCGAGUUAACACUUAACUCGCCGACUUAGCUCUUGUUUUCCCAACAGGCUCAGUCAGGUACCUCUCUGCUUUGGUACUUCCUCGCUUUCGCUUUCAUGGCAAUCAUCGAAAAGCAGAAGCACCCUUACGCCACAAGAAGUAAGGGGAAAAUGCCAGCAACUGAGCUGGAACAGGGUGAGCAAUCCCGACCUAAGGGACCCAUCAAUGCUCAACCUGUGGAAACAAACUCGGUUCCUCCUCCUGUCGAGGAACACAUUAUGCCCAAGGCUCCACCCACCUUGGAAGAAAGGUUGUUCAGUUUCAUGGACAACAUUGAAAGAAGGAUGACUAACCUCGAGCAAGCGAGGAGUCAUAGGACCACCACCAUCCGUGAAAGAACGGACGAAUCUGGGUCCAUCUAUUCUCCAUCUGCGGAGAAAAAACAGAGUUCCCGUCCCAAGACGGGACCCAGUAAGAGUCGCUCCGAGAGGACUCUUACUACUCGGUUCGUAGAGGAUCUUCGGCGGAAGUUGGCCACCGACCCAGCCGUCGGCAACACGCACGAAAUCCUGAGGGUUAAAAGUCCUCCUCUUAGCGAGGACCUUUUAAAGGGAGUUUUCCCACCCAACUGGCGGGUACCAAGAAUCGAGGCAUACGACGGUUCAAGUGAUCCAGAAGAUCACGUGAACCUCUACCUCAACGUCUUGGAACCGUAAACCAUCGAUGAUGGGCUGCUGUGUCGGGCAUUCCCCGGCACUCUCAAAGGCAGCGCUUAUCGAUGGUUCUCUGGUCUGCCAGCUGGCUCAGUCACCAGCUUUGCAGACCUCUCAUCCAAGUUCAUCGCCCAACACGUGGGGAUGAUAAGGAUUAAACAUAGUGCCAACGCACUCCUGGCACUGAGACAGGACAAACUGUCUCUGAGGGACUAUACGGUCAAGUUCACCACAAUGAUGACAGAGGUGAACGACCUAAUCCCGAGUGUGGCCAUAGCGGGAUACAUUAGAGGAUUAGUCCCCUACUCCCCUCUGGCCCAAAAUCUGACUCUCUACAAGGUGAGUUCUCUGCCCGAACUCUUCCAACGCACUCAAUUGUACAUUGAGGUGGAAGAGGAGGACGAGAACAAGCUAGCUGAACUUGGGACUCCUAACUUCCAAAAGCCUAAGUUUGAGAGGAAGGGGUACAGUGGAAACAACAAUUUCCACGACACCUCCAACAAGUAUACCAGUAACAAGGCCGAGACUUCCAAAAAAGAAUGGAAGCCUAGGCAUGAUAACAAGAUAUACCAAGCCUCAACCAGCAAGCCAAAGGGUGUAAUUCCACUAUGGAAAAGAAACACCCCGCUUACUAUCAGAAAAGGCGAGCUGUUUGAGAAGCUAAAGAACCGAGCGGACCUACCUGUCCCUCGUUCUUUAGACCCUGCAGGCAAAGAGGGUUGCAUGCAAUCUGGGAAAUACUGUGAAUUUCAUAAAGACAGCGGCCACCUAACAGAUAACUGCAGGGAGUUCUCGUCUUUCGUCGAACAGUUGAUCUCAAAGGGAGAACUUGGCAACUUCGUCAAGAACUCCCGAGGACGGGACAACUGCAAAUCUGACACAAAGGGGAAGCGUCCGCGCUCUCCUUCGCCAGACACUGACAACAGCGAGAACCGCCAGCGGAAGACCAUCAAUAUGAUAUUUGGUGGUGGAUCCGUUGGCCAGAACAGGGGAUAUUCCCGAAAGGUGUUGAUGUCACAGUCAACACCUCGAGACAACGGAAAGCGGUAACAACUUGGAGCUAUCUUAAAAAGGAUACAUUAAAGAGUAACAAAAAUGAUAUUGGAUGGUUCUAUUCCAUUUCCAUCUUGAGAAAAGACAUAAUUGUGAUACAAUGUUCUUCAGAAGAUCGAGAAUACAACUUGUACGUCCCUGUUCUUUUAUUAUUUGGUUAUUUACAGUCUAUGGUUUCUAGUCCUUGAUAGAUGUUAGAUAUUUAAUAUUAUUUAUCUAAUAUAGGUUUUAUCUAUUUUUGUGGAUUUCUUUGUCGUUUUCUUUACAUGUCGAUUUUUAUUUAUUCUUAUUCUAUUAAUAGGUUAAUAAAUUCUUGUUCUAUUUGAAGAAGAGAGUUUCCCACCUCUUCCUCAGGUACGUACCUUCUCCAAGUUAUAAGGGACCUGAUGGAGGUCAUUGAAUUCUUAGUCUACCCUCCUCCAUUAUAGUCUGGGGCAUAGAUGGGCAGGAAGGGGAAUCAUCUUUAAAUGGAGGUGAUUGCCACCACUAAGUCAGACUUUAUCACAUUCCGGUGAUGGAUAUACACUUCCGAUGUUAUAAAAUCAUAUAUAAAAACCAACAUUGUCUCUGAUACCAAAUGAUAGAAAUUAUCAUACUUUAUUAUCUAUGAUUUUUAUAUCAAGAAUGUAAUGUACUUACAGAUUCAAACGCAACUUGUGUUGAAUCCAUUACAACGGAAGUACAUACUUGAUCUCUGUAUGUUUCUUUUGCCUUUCUUCUGAGAUUUUCUCUUUUUUGGGAUUCCUGAGACUUGUCUCUAUUGGAUGUCUUCUUUUGGACUAGUAGAAUAGACGAUGUUUCUUUAACCCUCAUAUCUUAUUUAUAUAAAAGCAAUGGGUUAUUUACACAUUGAUCCAUAUAUUGAUACUCCCACUUGAUCUACUACACAUAUAUUAACCUUUACUCAACCAUAUAAACAAUCUUUAAUGCAUGCUUUGUUUAUUUUUCUUUUUAAGUCUACACUCGGUCUCAUAAAGACAACAAUAAUAAAUCACAGCGUCACUAUGUCUAAAUGUGCAACAUAGAAACUUCUGUGUAUCACAUUACGUUCGUCUUUAUUAACAUUAGCUUCAUGUGGUAGUGCAGCAAACUGAAUGAUACUUUAUAUAUGUAUCAUUUUAUUGUCAGUCCUCUGUAAUCUAAUCCUUAUGGUGAGCCCAUACUCACACUAGACAUUAUUUAUGAUUCUCAUGAACCUUAAUCAAUUUAUGUAUCAUUUUUCUUCUUUAUUGUGAAAUACAUCACACAAAAAAAAAAUGUAUACCUACUAUAUUAUUUUCUCAUCUUUAUUGUAAAAACCAUCACAAAAGAAAAUUUUAACUUUAUAAUUUCAUUUUUAUUGUGAAAAUCAUCACAAGAGUAAAAUUUAACUUUAUAAUCUCAUCCUUAUUAUGAAAUUCAUCACCGGAGACCUUGUUUAAUUUCUUAAUUCAUUCUCACAAAUUAAUCAGAGUUAAAUAAGAAAUUGACAAAUCAUUUAUUAAAAUACAAUUAUUGAAGUUUUGAUAAUCUAAUAAAUAAAUUAAAUCUGAGUAUAAAUAAUAAUAAUAAAUUAUUACAAGAUUGAAAAUAUAAAAUAUUACAUAUGGAAAUAAAAUUACUUUCACUUAAACGAUGACAUCCCAAGAACCCAACAAACUCAUUGCUAAAAUAUGUGAAUUUAGUAUGUUAGGUUGUCCUUUAGUGAGUGGAUCAGCUAGCAUAUCAUUAGUACUAAUAUGACCGACUAUGAUAUCAUUUUCUCUACCUUUUUCUUUGAUUUUUAGAUACUUCAAUUUUAUAAACUUUGUAGACGUGACACUUUUGUUGUUGUUAAUACUCAACACUGUCGAAAGGUUAUCACAGUAUAUUUGAAUUGGUCUUUCAACAAAAUUGAAAACUUUCAAUUGUUGAAUGAAACUUUUUAACCAACUUGAUUGAAUUGAAACUCCAAAGCAUGAAAUAAAUUCAGCUUCCAUGGUUGAUGUGGCUAUUAACUUUUGUUUUUCACUUCUCCAAGAUACAGCACCACCUGCCAUUUUGAAGAUAUAACCAGAGGUUGACUUCUUUUCAUCUUUACAUCCAGCAAAAUCUGAGUCUAAAUAUCCAACUAGAUUCAAGUUUUCAACUCGAGUAUAUGUUAAUCUAUAAUUUCGAGUACCUUUUAAAUAUCUCAAAACUUUCAUCGCAACAACCCAAUGAUCCAAGCCUGGAUUAACUUGAUAUCUUCCUAAGAGUCCAACCAUAAAUACAAUAUCUGGUCUAGUGCAUACCUGAGCAUACAUUAGACUUCCAUAAAGAAAUGCUUUCAUUUCAUUCUUCUGCAAGUUUGUUAGAGGACAUUGAGCUAAAUUCAAUUUAUCACCUUUUACAAUUGAAGCAACACUUGACUUACAUUCUGAGAGAUUAAACCUUUGUAAUAUACGAUCGAUGUAAGCUGAUUGAACAAGACCUAACAAAUGUCUAGAUCGAUUUCUGUUGAUCUCAAUACCAAGAACAAAAGAUGCUUCACCCAAAUCUUUCAUAUCAAAUUCACUUGAUAAGAAUUUCUUUGUUUCAAAUAAUAUACUUAAAUCGUUGCAAGCAAGUAAUAUAUCAUCAACGUAUAGAACAAGCAAAACAUAUUUGCUCCCUCUGACCUUGUGAUAUAUACAUGGAUCCAUGAGAUUUUCCGAAAAACCAUAUGAAGAAAUGAUUUCAUGGAAUUUAAUAUGUCAUUGUCUUGAUGCUUGUUUAAGUCCAUAUAUAGACUUUUUAAGUCUAUAAACAAGCUUGUCAUUUUCUUCAAAACCUUGUGGUUGCGUCAUAUAUAUUUCUUCAUUGAGAUUCCCAUUAAGAAAAGCGGUUUUAACAUCCAUUUGAUGUAGUUCUAGAUUGUAGUGAGCCACUAAAGCCAUAAUGAUUCUAAAAGAAUUCUUCGAGGAAACUGGUGAAAAUGUUUCAUGAUAUUCAAUUCUCUCUCUUUGAGUGAAUCCUUUGGCAACCAAUCUAGCCUUAAACCGCUAAAUCUUUCCUCUGGAAUCUCAUUUGGUUUUAAAAGCCCAUUUGCAACUCACAACUUUAACACCCUCAGGUAACUGAAUAAGUUCUCAUUCUUUAUUAUGGUACAUAGACUGCAUCUCAUCUUUCAUUUCAUCUUGCCACAAAUCACAUUGUGCACUUGCAACCGCUUGAUCAUAUGAGAUAGGGUCAACUGUACUACUACAACCAAUGUCAUAGUCGUAUUCUCCUAAAUAAACUUCAUAAUCAUUAGGGAUAGCUGAUCUUCUUUCUCGUGUAGACCUCCUUGGUUCAAUAACUAGUGGAUCUGCCGGUGUAAUAAUUGGUUCAUCAACUUGAGCAAUAACUAGUGUGUCAACGGAUGUCACUGAAGAUGUGGUUGGUGUAAUCGAAAAUAAGGGUAUAACUACUGUUGAUGGUUGAUGGUCCAAUGAAUUAGAAACCUCUGAAGUAUUAACAUCUGCUACAUCAUUUUUUAAGAAUUUUGCUGUUCGAGAAUCUACAAUUAUUGUUCCACCAUGAGGUCUAUAAAAACGAUAUCCCUUAGAAUGAUUCGGAUAUCCCACAAAAUAGCAUGUCACUGUUCUUGAAUAUAACUUGUUUUAUGUUGGAUUGUAUAAUUUCACCCCUACAGGAUAACCCCAAAUCUUCAAAUGAUUUAAACUAGGUUUUCUACCUGUCCAAAGUUCAAAAGGUGUAACUAGUACUGACUUACUUGGGACUCGAUUCAAAAUAUACAAUGCUGCUUGUAUUGCUUCACCCCACAAGAAUGUUGGUAAAUUUGCUCUACUAGUCAUGUUUCUCACCAUAUCCAUUAGGGUACGAUUUCUUCUUUCUGCCGCUCCAUUCUGCUCAGGAGUUCCUGACAUAGUGUAUUGCCCAAUUAUUCCAUAUUCUUCCAAAUAUUGUGCAAAAGGACCUUUAAGUUGUCCAACAUCUCCAUGUUUACCGUAAUAUUCUCCACCUCUAUCUAUCUGAUCUAACAAUCUUUAUAGAUUUUUCCAAUUGUUUCUCAACUUCUGUUUUGAAUACUUUAAAUUUCUCUAAAGAUUCAUAUUUUUCUUUGAUAAGAAACAAAUGGCCAUAUUUAGAAAAAUCAUCUAUAAAUGUUAUAAAAUAUAAGCAUCCACACAAAGUUUUAUGAUAUGGUCCACUAAUAUCCGUAUAAAUAAUCUCCAAAAGACUAGUGUUACGAGUAGCAGUCUUUUUCCCUUUCUUGGUCAUUUUCCUCUUAAGACAAUCAAUACAUUCUGCAUGGUCAUUAUCUAAAGAAGGAAGAAUGGUCGAUUUAACCAAUCUUUUAAUUCUAUCUUGUGAAAUAUGAUCUAACCUUUUAUGCCAUAAUAUAUAUGAUUUUUCUUUAUUUAAGGGUCUUUUGGAAACUGUAUUUUCCACAUUAUAAGCUAUAUAGAUCUUCAUAGAAUCAAGACAUAAUCUGUAUAGGUCAUAAGACAAAACACAAUUACCCAUAAUCUUUGAGUUAAGAAACAUUGAAACUGUAUUGUUCUUAAAUUCAAAAGAAAAACCAUGUUUGCUUAAUUUACUAACAGAAAUUAGAUUCCGUCUAAACGACGGAACAUACAAAGUGUCUUUCAAUGUUAAACCAAAUCCUAAAUCUAGAUUUAAAAUAACAUCGCCCACAAAUUCUACAUCAGUUUGUCCAUCAUUUCCUACGAACAAUCUUGAUUCAUCCUGAUUUGGCUUCCUUCUAUUUGUGAAUCCCUGUAUGGUGAAUGCAACAUGAUUAGUUGCUCCACUAUCCAACCACCAAGAACUAGAUGAAGAUUCUAUUAAAUUAGAUUCAUAAACUAAUGUCAAAGAAUCAAUACCUUUUUGUUCCUGUUUUAUGAGCCAAGAUUUAUACUUUAAGCAAUUCUUCUUUAUGUGUCCCGGUUUCUUACAGAAGAAACAUCCAUUAAUUGCUUUCUUGAGGGAGUUCUUGUUAGGACCAAAUUUGUCAGAUAAGUUGGUAUCCUUAGAAUCUUUAUUUUUCACAAACUUUUUGAACUUAAAUCCUUUCUUAUUUGAACUAUACAUUGUUAUCGAAAAUUUUUCGCCUUUUAUUUUAUCCCCCAUUUCUCCAAAUAAUUAUUUCUUUUAAUUCGAGCCCAGGCUCGCCGGUUCGAGCCCGGGCCCGAGCCUGACAAUUCUUAAAAUGAGCCGAGCCUGAGCCUGGCUCUAUAAGCAAAAGCUCGACUUGUUUGACACCUUAAUCUCAGAUAAAUAUUCCGAGAAUAUUUUGCCACUUAUCUUCAAAUUCUGAAGUUUUUUGGCGUAGACUCAUCACAUGCGAUCGAGAAUUAGAUGCAAAUUGCAUUUGAAAUGUUUCUCAUACCUCAUGUGUCGUAGCACAAUCAGAGACUUCCGACAGUACCGAGAGUGAAAUUGAUGAAAAUAGCCAUCCUAAAAUCAAUUGAUCUUGCUUGAUGGCAAGAGAGUUGUCCAAUUUUUCCCUACCGGCCAGAUAGUCCAUCAGCUCAUGACCUCGGAUAUUAGCCCCAAAUUGGGCUCUCCACGCGAAGUAGUUGCUGCGGUCUAGGGCUACAGUCUUGAAGUUCUUGGCGGUCACCUUUCCUGGUGCAUCGUUGCCAUAGAGCUUCUUUGCAGCCAGCGAAAUCCCUUUGUCAGCUUCGUCAAUCGACAUUGCGUAUCGGAAAAAAAUUGUGAUCGUCAACGAUUUUGGAGCGAUUCCGAUGAUCAGAGAUGUGCGGCUUCCCAAGAUCAGCUAAGCGAAAGAUACCAUAACAGUGAAUUGAAAUAUAUGAAUGGGGAAAGCCAAACUCGAUCCUUUUCAUAUUCAAUAGUAAGAUCUAUUUAUACAAUUUGUUACUCUAAUAUCCUAUUUGUUUGUUCUUUUGUAUUAUCGAUAUUUAUUGUCUAUUUUUUAUAAUGUUCUUGUCUAUUUUUAUAUUUACAGUCUAUGGUUUUUAGUCCUUGAUACUUGAUAGAUAUUUGAUAUCUAUUAUAUAUUUUAUCUAUUUUUGUGGUUUCUUUGUCGUUUUCUUUAUUGAUUUUUAUUCAUUCUUGUUCUAUUAAUAGGUUACCAAAUUCUUGUUCUAUUUGAAGAAGAGAGUUUCCCAUCUCUUGCUCGGGUACCUUCUCCAAGUUAUAAGGAACCAGAUGGAGGCCAUUGAAUUGUUAGUCUACCUUCCUCCAUUGGAGUCUGAGGCAUAGAUGGACCGAAAGUGGAAUCAUCUAGCUUUAGAUGGGGGAGGAGAGCACGACUUGUGCUAGAACUUCUUCAAGAAAUUUGACAAAUUUACGCUUCUCAACCUUACUCAUGGCUCUCGCGUCUUGAUGUUACAAGAGUUGCUCGUGGAGGGUACGUAAGGCUAUCCCCAACUGAAUCUUUGACUGGGGGAAAGAUGAUUCCGUCAGGGAAUUUGAUGUAAAAAUUCGAAAAACAAACAUAUAACAUUAUUAUUAGAGGAAACGUUUCAAAUAAAAUAUUUAAAAUAAUAUAUAUUUUGUGAAAUAUUAAUUUAGAACGUUCAUUUAUUUUAAAUUAAAUUAAACACAUCUUAAGGUAGAUCAUAUCAUUUAAUUAGUGGAAUGUUUUAGAGAUUAAUUUUAUACCAUUUAAAUGAAAUAAAAGAGUACUUAUACUAUUACAACAUUUGUAAUUAAUUAAUUAAUUAAUUCUAAAGGAUUUUUAAUAUAAAAAUUCUAAUUGGAGCAGCGGUCUUCCGCUUCUCUCUCCGGCUCGGACCCGGUUCAUCACCGUUGGGUGAUUUUUGUUUACCGUGGUCUUCCCCCAAUUAAGUUAGGAUUUAGGUCGUCUUCUUCAACAACAACUCUUCUAAUCGUCGUGCUAUCUUCCUGGAUAGUGGAGCAGUCUAUCAGCAUCAUAUCAUCGUCGGCUUCUUCAGAUUCGGCAUUGUCUUCAAUGUUGAUAGGAGGGAAAAGACGCAACACAUCUUCAUGAAAUUCCCAAGACGAGUCCUCCGGUAUCGCUCCAUUCCAAGCGACCAGCCAUUGAUUUCUCUGUCUCGAUCUCACCCUGAAAAAUGGUACGUUUAUUAGAAUAAAUAACUUCUACUGUUUUUUUAGUUGAGUUUAAUAUUCUCAAAUACAAUUAAGUUUAUACAAUGAGUUAGUUGUUAGAGGUUAAUUAGUUUUAGAUACUCUUUCUUAUAAAUUCUUUUGUAAGACUGUAUUCUUGGUUAAUGAAUUAAGUUCUUUCUUUUGAGAUUAUUGUUGAAUUGAGCUUGAAACAAGCACCAAAAUCUUGGUACUCAAGACUGAGUGCAUUCCUAAUAUUAAAUGAAUUCACUAACAGUCUGGCAGAUACAUUAUUGUUUCAAAAAAAAGAUAAUAUUUUAAUUUGAGUAAUUGUGUAUAUAUAUAGAUGACAUUAUAAUUUCAAGAAACAACAACAUUGAAAUUGAAGUUUUUAUUAAAAAUCUUUGUACUGAAUUUAGAUGUAGAGACCUAGGACUUUUGAAAUAUUUCUUUAGUAUAGAAAUUAGAUACAAUUUUGAUGGGUCACUUAACAUGACUCAACCUAGAACUUUUGGACUGGUCCAUGUUCCGAUCUUUAAAUAUAAAAAGGGUUUUGUAAAUUUGAUUUUGGUUGUAAACACGAAUCAUCUUGUAGGGUUUCAGCGGGAAAUGAGGGUUUCACUGGAGGCAAGGGUUUGCUGGAGGCAAUCGUUCGGGUAUGUUUCUAGUCUUCUUCUUUUGUGCAUGUCGCUCUAUUCUUCUUGUGUAUGUUGUCUUUGGUUGGGUAUCCUUAUUCAUUUGUAUUCUUAAUGGGUUUUGUAGUGGGUGUUCUGUCUGUUAAUGUGUUUGCAUGUCAGUGUUUUCUUUCAUGGUGUUUGUUUUCCUUCAUCCUUUGUGUUUGUUUUCCUCUAUCAGUCUGUUCCGUGUAAGUUUUCCAUAUUCAGUUUCUUUUUGAGAUGAUUGAAUAGAUAUCCUGUAACAUCUUUUGUGAAGAUGUCUUCCACGUUUUCUUUGGUGUUUACCCUUUCUAUUUCAAUCUCUUUUUGCAAAGCUUUGUCUCUGAUCGUGUGUGUAUCGAUUUCUAUGUGUUUUGUUCUUUGAUGUAAGACUGGGUUUGUUGCGAUUGCAGUUGCAGAGGAACUAUUUGUAUAGAGUUUUGGAGUUACUAUAUUUACAUGCAUUUCCUUUAAUAGUUGUUUUAGCCAUGUGAUUUCACAAGUUGUGUGUGCUAAGGGUCGGUACUCUUCCUCUGCUGACGAUCUUGCCACUGUAUGUUGUUUUUUGGUUUGCCAUGAAACUAGGUUAUCAUUCAAGAAGAUGGCAAAUCCUGAUGUGGAUCGUCUGGUUGUGGGGCAAGAGGCCCAGUCAGAGUCUGAAAAUACUUUAAUCCUUCAGGUUCUUGUGCCUGAUGAGAAGAAAAGUCCACUUCCUGGUGAGUUUUUAAUGUAUCUUAAUAUUUUGUUCACCUUAGUAGAGUCUUCAUUUGUUGGUUCUGACAUGUGUUGGCUUAGUUGGUUUACUACAUAUGUUAUAUCGGGUUUGGUUACAGUUAGGUAGACAAGUUUUCCAACUAUGCAUCUGUACUCAGUAGGAUCAUCAAGUAAUUUAAUUUCCUUGUUCUGUUUGUUUGGCGAUCUUGAUGGUGUAUAGAGUGGGUAUUCUCCUGGUUUAGCAUGUAGAUAGUUGUUUUGUUCAAGGAUUUCUAAUUCAUAUUUUCUUUGGCUAAUAAAAAUCCCAUGUUGUGUUGUUGUGAAUUCUAAUCCUAAGAAUUUUUUUAAUGUUCCUAGAUCUUUGAUGUUAAAAAAACUGGUUAAAUCUGUCUUAAGUUUGAUUAUUUCUUUUAAGUUAUUUCCUGUGAUUAAUAGAUCAUCUACAUAUGGUAGGAUGAAAAUUUUAUUUUUCCCAUUGAUCUUACCGAAGAGAGCAUAAUCCUCUCUUGUCUGUUUAAAACCUAAUUUGUUUAGUACUUGUUGUAGUUUGUUAAACCACAUUCUAGAUAUUUGUUUUAAGCUAUAUAGAGGUUUUGUUAAUUUGCAUGCUAGUUUGUGGUUAUCUGUUGGUUCUUUGUUGAUCCUUAGACCUUGGAGAAUGUCCAUAUGUAGACUUCUUCAUUUAAGUCUCCAUGUAAGAAGGUGGUGAGACAUGCCUGAUUACGGCAGUCACUCCCAGCAACGCCUUUCAACAAGGACUAGAGUUCCGUCGCUUUACCCCCGGAAGGCUCCCACGGUGCGGAACAAGUUCAUCGUCAAAUCGCGAGUUAACCCAUAAAUCGCAAUUGGACUACCAAAUCGCCGAUUUUAGGGACAAAUCGUUGAGUUAGGUCCCAGAUAGGCAGUAUGGUAGACUGCAUAUCUCGCCCCUUGAAACUCGACUAGUUUACCCUAAUAGGCAAUUUUCAUACCUGAAUCGUCGAUUUACGACCGUUACUCGCCGCCAGCCAACGCCAUAAAUGCACCCAUAUAUGGCAAUAGGCGCGAUGUCCGCCUUUGAUCGCGCCCUCCGAGACCAUAUAAAAAGGGUCCCAAGGGGACACUCAAAGGCACAACACAAGUUCCACUCUCACCAGAGCACCACUAAGAGAAUCGCCGAUUCCCACACCAGAAUCGCCGAUUCUCUCCUUUCAGGUAUUUGACGUAGAGCGUGUGUCGUGGACUCCAGAGCCUCCGCGAGCCCUGGUAGCAGAUUCUGUGCUUCAUCAAUCCUUCAGUGGAUGCUAGGGAGAUAAGUGUUCUUAGUGUGGUCAUUCUAGAAACUGGUGCAAAAGUUUAUGUGCAGUCUAUCCCCUCUGUUUAGUUAUAGCCCUUGGCAACCAAUCUAGCUUUGAAUUUGUCUAGGCUUCCAUCAGCCUUAAGUUUUGUCUUAAAAACCCAUUUGCAAUCUAUGAUUUUUGUCUCUCUUGGUACUUCAGUGAUUCUCCAAGUGUUGUUUUGUUUUAGUGCAUUUAUUUCAUUGCUUCUUGCCAGUGUGAUACUUGGCUUGCUUUUUGUAAUUUUUAGGUUCUAUGUGUUCUGAAAUUUUAAUUAGAAAUGCUCUGUGUUUUUCCGAAAAUUUGUUGUAGUUGAUGUGGUUGCUUAUUGGAUAUUUUGUUGUGUUGUAACAAACGUAGUCAUCCAAUUUUGUGGGUCUCUUUCUCUCUCUUGUGGGUCUUUCAGGCUUUUCUCUCCUAUUGUUUCAUCUUCUACAUGGUUGUUUGAGUUUUCAGAGUUUUGGUUGUCAUGAUUUUGUUGAAUUGCUUGGUCUUGGAUUUGUGUUCUCAUUGUUGAACUUGAUUUCAGUAUCUAUAAGGAGGAUCCCAUUUUCCUUUUCUUCUAUGUUUUUGAAAGGGAAGAUAUUUUCAUGGAAUAUUACAUCUCGGUUGAUAAUUAUUUCAUUGUUUUUAAUAUCGAGAAUCUUGUAUCCUUUUGUUAAUGUAGAAUACCCUAGAAAUACCCCUUUUGUGGCUCUGGCCUCAAAUUUAUUUGUCGGUUUAUUGAUUUUUGAGUAGCAAAGACAUCCAAAUUUUUUGAGACUUUCAUAUGAUGGUUCUUUUUGGAAGAGUCUGAAAUAAGGGGUUUCAUUAUUGAUGGUUGGUGAGAACAUUCUAUUUAUGAGAUAGCAAGCAGUUUGGAUGCAUUCUCCCCAGUAAGUUGUUGGAACUUCAGAUUGGAAUAUUUAGCAUCUAGUUAUGUCUAGGAUGUGUUUGUGUUUUCUUUCUACUAUUGAGUUUUGUUAUGGGGUGUAGAGGCAAGUGAGUUGGUGUUUUAUUCCAAAGCCCUAUAGAAAGGUUUGGAGGUUUACGUUAAGGAAUUCAGUACCAUUAUCGGUUCUGAUUGUUUUCACAGAAGUGUCAAAUUGGUUGAUUGCUUUUGUGAUGAAAUGUUUUAGUUUUCCUGGUGUUUCCCCUUUAUUGUGUAAUAGUAUUAUCCAGGUGGCUCUACUAAAGUCAUCCACUAUGGUGAUGAAGUAGUGGUGACCAUUGUAUGUUGGUGUUCUGCAUCUUCCCCACAAGUCAAUAUGUAGUAAUUCAAAAAAAUUCGUAGUUUUGGAAGUACUUGUAGAAAAUGAUAAUCUAAUAAAUUUUGCAGUUGGACAUUCAUUACAUAAAAUAUUUUUAAACAUAGGAAUAGAUGGAUUGUUUUUCCUAAUUAGAUUGUAUCUCAAAAUUAAAGAAUGUCCUAGCCUUCUAUGCCACAGCUCUGCAUUUUUUUGAGCUGAAUUUACCCAUACUUGUCCUUCUUUCGUUUCUUCAGAUGAUAGGAUGUAGAGUCCUUUCCUUUUAACCAUAGAAAUCGAAUUCAUCUUCGAAUCCUGUAUUAGACAGUGGUUAUUAUAGAAAACGAAAAAGCAGUUAAUUGAAUUUGUCAGCUUUGUGACAGAGAUCAAAUUAACAUUGAAAUUUGAAAUUUUUAACAUUGGAUCUAGUGUUAAUUUUUCAUUCAGGGUGAAUGUUCCAACCUCGUGCAUAAUUGCUAUGUGAGAGUUUGGCAUAUGGACCUUAAUAGGAUGGUUAAGUAUCCUUAUGUUGGAUAGCUGGAUUACCGGACCACACAUGUGGUAUGUGGCUCCACUAUCUAUCACCCAUUCAUUUUGUCUAUUCACUGUUGAAAUGAAGCAGUAAGAUUGUGUACCUGAUUUUUCUAUGUCAUGGGUUGUAGAUCUUCCCACGUUUGCAGAGUGUUUAGGUUUGUUUUGUCAUUGUAGCAUGGACAUGAGUUGCUCAAUGGUGUAGCUUGGUUGUCCUUCUGAAUAAUUGACUCUAUUUCUUGUGGGGUUUCAUGGUGAUCUUCUUGGUUGUAGUUAUCUUGGUAAUUGUAGUCUUCCCAGUUUUGUUGUUCUUGUGGCUCUUCUGAAUCCUCAGUGUAUGUGUUGUUUGCCCUGUAGUUUGCCUAUUGUAAUUCCUGCCAUACUGGUUUUUGUUUUCCCUUCUUGGGUAGCUAUUUGUUGGAUUGUAGGGUCUGUUAGGUCUCCUGAAAUUUUGUGAGUUAUUUCCAUUGUUGUAUGUUUGCCUUUCAGGGUAUCCAUGUACUUGGUAGCAAUUGUCAACAGUGUGCCCUGAUCUUUUGCAAUGUGUACAGAAGGGCCUUUCUCUUAUCUCUGGUUUUGAUGGUUUGUAAGGGUCAUUUGCCAGUAAGGUUGUUGUUACCUCAGUUGUGGGUACUGUGUGAUUUCUUUGCUGUUAUUCUUGUUUGAUUAUAGGAUAUAAUUCACCAAGUUUUGGGGUCGAUUUCUGAGCCAUUAGGACACCUCUAAUUGUUGUGUAGGUUUCAUUCAGUCCCAUUAAGAAUUUUACUGAUCUUGCAAAUUCAUCAGGGGGGUUAAUGUCUUCUUUGUUGGUGUCAUAUGUGCUCUAGAUGAGUUUAGUCAGUUUGGUGUAGUAUGUGCAUACUGAGUCUUGUCCUUGGUAGAGUGUGUAUGUUUGUACUAGGACAUCAUAAAGCAUUGCACCAUUUGAUUGGUUGUAUCUGAUUGCCAAUUCAUCCCAUAAUAUCCAUGGUUUGCUAGCUGUGAGAAAAGAUGGUUGUAGCUCUGGUGUGAUGGAGCUUAGUAAUCAAGAAUGUAUCAUAGUGGUGCAGGCCUUCCAUUUUCUAUGUUCCUUUGAAUAUGUUUCUUGGUCUGGUUCUGGUAUGACUCCAAGUAGGAACCCUAAUUUUGAUCUACCUUCUACUGCCAUUUCAAAAUGCUUUUUCCAUACUGGAUAGUUAUUACCAUCCAGUUUAAUAGUUACCAUAAAAUGUGAAGAGAAUUCUGAACUGUAGAUGUCAUCCUCUUUUGUUUUUGUGCUUUGUAUGUUUUGAUCAUCAUAUUCAGACAUUUUCUGCAGAUUCAUAAUUAGCUAAUUACGUGGAGUUUGUAGAAGGCGAAAAUUCUAAGUAGCAAAUGUGAAUGUGGAAGUUAAUACUAAGGAGUGUGUUGACCACUUGAUGGUCGAGGAAGAUGUUGAUCCUCCUCCUGAUCCUACUGAAGAUGAGGCUACAAUGAUUCGUAGGGCUACUAGAAAGAGGAACAGGGAGGAAGGAGAAGUGUUCCACGAUCCUUUCACAGUGUGGAUGGAUGACUGCUGGAGGAAAGGUAUUUCCCCUGACCUUAAUAAUGCACCUAGGUAUCGUGAUUAUAAAUGGGAAAAUGAUGAUGAGCUUCCACCUUGAGAUGGUCGUUUUGAUGAAAUGUUUAAUUCAGAUACAGAAGUUAAUGGAGGUAUCUAUGGAUUUAGUGAAGAUUCUGAGGUUGAUCGUCUCUAUGAUCGUGAGAUGUUGGGAGUGAGUGUGGACAUUGUAAUUGUUAUAAGUGAUGAUGAUGAUGAUGCUGAGGAUAGUGAUGCUUGGUAAUCCUGAUUAUAUGGAGUUGAUCUUCGACACUUGAAAGAACUGAAGAAAGAGAAUAAGGGUAAUGUAGAGCCAGACUAUGAGAAGUGGCUCAAGAUGAUACUUAAGAAGAAAUCGAAGUGAGGAUUUUCCUCAUCUUUUUGAAGUAAAGAAAAAAAACUUUAUAUAUUUUGUUUUCUCUUUGAGAAUAAAUACUUUCCCUUUUUUUUAUUAACCUAUUACUUGGGUUUGUUUUACUAUGGGGAUCUCAAUCGCUCUGAUACCAUGUUAAGUUUUAAUGUGUAUGAAAUAUAAUCCAAGUAUGGUUUAAUGAUUAAUCCAGAGUAAAGCAAAAUAGUGUUGAUGCAGCGGAUAAUAUUGAUUGUUUAAUUUAUCUAAUGAGUAUGAUCAAGAUGUGUUGCAGGUAGAUAAUGUUUGACAGGGAUGAUAUAUAUAUGAUUUGUCCAAGUAGAAGCGGAGAUAUGUGUAUGCAAUAGAUAUCAGGUAUGAUAUAUAUAUGAAAUGUAAGCAGAUGAUUUAGCAAUACUGAGAUCGUUUGGAGAGCGAGGAGAUGACGAUGUAGGAGAGUCGAUGAUUGAGUGUAGAGCAGAUCGGAGUGAAGUUGAUGAUGACUUUGAUCCACAGAUGAUGAUUCCCAAAGGGAGUAUGAUUUUGAAACUUAGUAUCACAAACUGUAAAACAAUGUUAGGUUUGAGUUUGAUCUAUAUAGAUGGUUUAAAUGUUUGAUUCCAGCUUACAACGGUCAUAAGCUCAAGGUUCAACUGGCGCUUGUUGUCCUGUUGCUGAAGGCAAAGGUGACAUCAAGUGAUGGUUGGACCUUCCUAAGAUUUCUAUCAUAUUAAAGGUUUAGGUAUUAAAUUGAUCAUGUAAGGGUUUAGAUUGUAAAUUGGUUAAUGAGGGUUCAUAUUGUAAAUGUUGUAAUUAUGGAUUUAUGUAAUAAUUUUAUAGAAACCCAGUUAUCAAAAAUAUGUCAAAACAUAUUGAGAGUGACAUCCAUUACAUUAGAGAAUUAAUUACAAAUAGUUUAAUAGUAGGAAAAUCUCCAUCCCUGUUCCGGACUGAAAUCCCCGUCCAUUUCCCUGCCCCGGAUAAUAUUCGUACCGUGGUAAAUUAUAUUUAUACCUUAUAUAAUAUCUUAUAUAGUAUAAUUUAUAUAAAUAACCCUAUAUAAUAUAUUAAAUGCAUAGGUUUAUAUUCAAAAUGUAUCCAUAAAAAAUUUAUAUUUAACCCUAAAUCCCUAAAAAUUUAAUUUUUAACUAUUUGGAUGAAUUGUGAUUUAGAGAUAAUAAAUAUAAAUUUAGAAACUUCUUUUUUAAUUAAUGAAUCCUCGAUUAAUUUUUCACGAUAUUUUUCUUUAAAUUUUUUUUCAUAUCGAUUUUUAAUUAUAUACUAACACCACAAUUUUAGAUUUAAUUUUUAGAAUUAUUCUUUUUUUAUUCUUUAGCUGGUUAGUUGCAAUUUUCAGUUUGAAAAUAACCAUUUUAGAAUAGAAAUGAGCAUUUCUCUCUCUCUCACCCAUUUUUUUCUUUCAAAACAACUAUAUAAUCAUCGAUAGAUAUCAAUCAAUCUAUUGAAAGGAGAAAGAAGACGUGAGAUCUCGAUAGUUCUUUCGAAUUUUGAUUUUUCUUAGGUCAAGAAUGGUUCACGUAACCGAGAUGGAGGAAAACAAUUUAAGUGAGGUUGAUUGCUUUUCUUCUCAAAAUAAUUCGACCCAAGCAACCAAUUUUUUUCCACAGGUUUAUUUAUCAUUGUUUUAGAUUCUAAACAUUACAUUUGUUCUAUUUCCUUCUUAUUCUUUUUUCUUUUGUAUAUGACAAUUCUCUCAUUUCAUUUUAUAUUUUUAUUUAUCAGGGAUCAUCAACUCCAUUGUCUCAAAAUAAUUCGACCCAAAUAAUGAAUUCUUCUGGGCAGGUUUAUUUAUCAUUGUUUUAGAUUCUAAACAUUACAUUUAUUCUAUUUCCUUCUUAUUCUUUUUUUCUUUUGUAUAUGACAAUUCUCUCAUUUGAUUUUAUAUUUGUAUUUAUCAGAGAUCAUUAAGACCCCAAAAUAUACCUAGUAUUGAGCGUAACCGAAAUUCCCAUAGCCAUAGGCGUCGUUCCACACAAAAUCAUCAAUCUCGAAGACGUCAGCAAGUUGAUUGGGUUUCUUCAUUAAAGCAGUCGAUUGUUAUUCCUCCUUACCCUAUAAACCAAGCUAUUUAUCCUCCAUUUAAUGUUGUUCCUGCUCCCCUUCCGAUGGAAAUGAAUCAAUAUCCUUACCCAACAAAUUUUACUACUAGACAACCAUUCGUGAUGAAUUCUUGGCACGAUUGCAGAUAUCUACCAUUUCCUCGUCAUCAACCUUUUGGGUUUAAUCCUCUCAGUAACUUUUACAGACCACAAGAGCAUAACUCUAGUUGGACGUCAAUAAAUCCACAGAUACCUGGUAGACAUUUCAAUCAGGCACACCAACCUUAUCCAUUUUAUCCCUCAUGUAAUCCAUUCCAAAUGCGAAUUAUGAAUCAAAGACCUUAUUUUAUGAAUAUGCAAGCACCGGCAUUUAUACCAACUCAUGGAGUGUAUGGAAAUGAUUACAACCAGGGUACCACCCACUUCUUCUGAUUAUUUCUACCAAUUGCUAAUUUUAUCAUUCAUCAUUCAUAUAUAUUUAGGUAAUGCAGUUCAUUAUUCUGCACCAUUUGAAUCGUCGAAUCUUAAUGAUCUUCAAGAGUUGAAGACGAGUAUACGUGUUCAAAUUGAAUAUUACUUUGGGUAUAUAUCAUUUCAUAUAUGAGAUUUUUUUUUUUAAGUAUAUAUGUUUUUGUAACGUUUUCAUUGUAUUUUUAUAGAGAUACCAACUAUCCAACUGAUGAUCAUCUACACAAAAAAAUGGAUAAAGAAGGGUGGGUGGACAUAUCUGAAAUCGCACAAUUUAGAAUGGUGUGUUCAAAAUAUUUAUCGUUCUAGGAAGUUACAUAUUCUCAAUAUUUCCAACUAACAACUAUAUAUGCUUCAAUUGUGAUGUUACAGAUAAGAAGAAAAAAUGUUGAUUUAUCCCUUAUUUUAGAAUCUUUGAAAUCGUCAAAAAUGAUCGAAAUAAAGGUAAUUAUAAUACAUGUAAAAAUUAAAUUUCACUAUGACUAAUUAAGUGCUUGAUACAAUUUUAUUUAUCGAUCAUAAAGAGUAUAAUUUUUUAAAUGGUGUUGUAUAUUUAACAUUUAUGUUGUUUUUUGUUUAUAGGGAAAUAAGAUAAGAAAAAUCAUUCAUGAAAAAAUGCUUCCAUUACCUGAAACGACGACCGAUACAAGUCAAUGAUAAAGAGCUUAUCGGCCUCAAGAAGUUUUAACUUUAUUUUUAAUUUGAACCUUAUUAUCUGAUUUUUACAACAUUUAGUUAGCCAUUAAUAAUUGGUUAAGUGACAUUUCCACAGUUUGAUUUUUGGCUACAUUUCGUUAGCCAUUUUUUGUUUGAUUGUCAUUUCGUCAUUUUUAUGUUCGACCAGAUUUCGUUAACCAUUUUUUAGUUGUGUGUCUUUUUGCUGUUUGAUUUUUGGCUAUAUUUUGCUAGCCAUGUUUGAGUGAGCCUCAUUUUGGCUGUUUGUACUUUAUAGACUUCAUUUUAACAUUCUAAAUUGAAGAAUUGAAUUUUUUUUGUUAAUUAAUUUGAGGUUAUCAACUUUGAUACUUUUCUUUUAUCCAUGUAUUUUGGUUAAUAGCAAGAACCUAGUGAAGCUCAAAUAAAAAUUGCAAACGAUCAAGUGAAUGGAAAUAACAAAAUAAAUAAAUGUCAAAUACCACAAGAAAUACCAUAAGAACUGCAAAGCAAGGCAUAUUUGAAGGUGUUUCGAUCUGCAUCUUUCCUGUGACGGAAAGGAUAUACAAUGUGAGAAUUGAUUGAAACGCAACUUGUGUUGAAAUAUACUUACAGAUUCAAACGCAACUUGUGUUGAAUCCAUUACAACGGAAGUACAGAUAGACGAUAUCUAUUUGUUUGUUCUUUUGUAUUAUCGAUAUUUAUUGUCUAUUUUUUAUAAUGUUCUUGUCUAUUUUUAUAUUUACAGUCUAUGGUUUUUAGUCCUUGAUACUUGAUAGAUAUUUGAUAUCUAUUAUAUAUUUUAUCUAUUUUUGUGGUUUCUUUGUCGUUUUCUUUAUUGAUUUUUAUUCAUUCUUGUUCUAUUAAUAGGUUACCAAAUUCUUGUUCUAUUUGAAGAAGAGAGUUUCCCAUCUCUUACUCGGGUACCUUCUCCAAGUUAUAAGGAACCAGAUGGUGGCCAUUGAAUUGUUAGUCUACCUUCCUCCAUUGGAAUCUGAGGCAUAGAUGGACCGAAAGGGGAAUCAUCUAGCUUUAGAAGGGGGAGGAGAGCACGACUUGUGCUAGAAUUCUUCAAGAAAUUUGACAAAUUUACGCUUCUCAACCUUACUCAUGGCUCUCGCGUCUUGAUGUUUCAAGAGUUGCUCGUGGAGGGUACGUAAGGCUAUCCCCAACUGAAUCUUUGACUGGGGGAGAGAUGAUUCCGUCAGGGAAUUAAUGUAAAAAUUCGAAAAACAAACAGAUAACAUUAUUAUUAGAGGAAACGUUUCAAAUAAAAUAUUUAAAAUGAUAUAUUUUGUGAAAUAUUAAUUUAGAACGUUUAUUUAUUUUAAAUUAAAUGAAACACAUCUUAAGGUAGAUCAUAUCUCGAGGUUGUAUAUCUCAAUUUACUCCAAAUAAAUAUGUUAGAUUAAUAUCUCAU
rnacentral:lncRNA from 1 species